rnacentral:lncRNA from 1 species
UUUUCCAUGUAUUAAAUCAAUCUUGAUCCCCUGCUGUCUUUUCUGGUCUCUUCGUCUUCUCUUGCCCUCCGGUGCUGCCAUGCCCUCUUCUGAAGAAGUAACCGCCAUUUCCCCCAGCAAGCGGGCCCGGCCUGCGGAGGAUGGCGGCUUGCGGCUCCGCUUUGUUCGACUAUCGGAGCACGCCACGGCCCCGACCCGGGGGUCCGCGCGGGCCGCAGGCUAUGACCUGUACAGUGCCUAUGAUUAUAUAGUACCACCUAUGGAGAAAGCCCUUGUGAAAACAGACAUUCAGAUAGCUCUUCCUUCUGGGUGCUAUGGAAGAAUAGCUCCACGUUCUGGCCUGGCUGCAAAAUACUUCAUAGAUGUAGGAGCUGGUGUCAUAGAUGAAGAUUAUAGAGGAAAUAUUGGUGUUGUGUUAUUUAAUUUUGGCAAAGAGAAGUUUGAAGUAAAAAAAGGUGAUCGAAUAGCACAGCUCAUUUGUGAACGGAUUUUUUAUCCAGAUAUAGAAGAAGUUCAAGUGUUGAAUGACACUGAAAGGGGUUCAGGAGGUUUUGGUUCUACUGGAAAGAAUUAAAAUAUAGGUCAAGUAUAGAAAAAUGUUACUUUCUCUUAAAAAUAAAGACUUUCUGCUUAAAGUGUUAGUAUUUUGCACAACUGAAAAGCUAGCUUUAGCUUCUGAAAGUUUAUUUUCU